rnacentral:rRNA from 1 species
UACGGAGGGUGCGAGCGUUGUUCGGAAUUACUGGGCGUAAAGAGUGUGUAGGCGGUGCUCUAAGUUCGGUGUGAAAUCUCCUGGCUUAACUGGGAGGGUGCGCCGAAAACUGGAGUGCUCGAGCGUGGGAGAGGAAAGCGGAAUUCCUGGUGUAGCGGUGAAAUGCGUAGAUAUCAGGAGGAACACCUGCGGUGUAGACGGCUUUCUGGACCAUUGCUGACGCUGAGACACGAAAGCGUGGGUAGCAAACAGG